UAGGGAAUCUUCGGCAAUGGGGGGAACCCUGACCGAGCAACGCCGCGUGAGUGAAGAAGGUUUUCGGAUCGUAAAGCUCUGUUGUUAAGGAAGAACGAGUGUGAGAAUGGAAAGUUCAUACUGUGACGGUACUUAACCAGAAAGGGACGGCUAACUACGUGCCAGCAGCCGCGGUAAUACGGGGGGUGCGAGCGUUAAUCGGAAUAACUGGGCGUAAAGGGCACGCAGGCGGUGACUUAAGUGAGAUGUGAAAGCCCCGAGCUUAACUUGGGAAUUGCAUUUCAUACUGGGUCGCUAGAGUACUUUAGGGAGGGGUAGAAUUCCACGUGUAGCGGUGAAAUGCGUAGAGAUGUGGAGGAAUACCGAAGGCGAAGGCAGCCCCUUGGGAAUGUACUGACGCUCAUGUGCGAAAGCGUGGGGAGCAAACAGGAUUAGAUACCCUGGUAGUCCACGCUGUAAACGAUGUCGAUUUGGGGAUUGGGCUUUGAGCUUGGUGCCCGUAGCUAACGUGAUAAAUCGACCGCCUGGGGAGUACGGCCGCAAGGUUA
rnacentral:rRNA from 1 species